rnacentral:sRNA from 1 species
GGCGGGGCGGGGCGGGGCGGGGCCGGGCGGAGGCCUGUACCGCGGGCUGCUGACCUCUCCCCACAGCCCGGCGAGAAACAGCCUCUGGAUCUGGGGAAGCUAGUGAGCUCGGUGGCGGCCCAGAGACUGGUUUUGGACACUCUUCCAGGUGUGAAGAUCUCCAAAGCCCGUGACAAAUCUCCCUGCCGCAGCCAGGUGAGCGAAAGGCGAGUGGCCUCUUCCACCCUCUGCUUCUCCUCUCCCGAUUUUGGCUCUGACCCCGUAUUCUCGCAGGGCUGCCCACCUAGAACUCAGGACAAGGCCACCCAUCCCCCUCCAGCGUCCCCCAGUUCUCUGGUGAAGGUGCCCAGUAGUGCCACUGGAAAGCGGCAGACCUGUGAC